GACAGAGGGUGCAAACGUUGUUCGGAAUCACUGGGCGUAAAGCGCGUGUAGGCGGCCAUGCAAGUCGGAUGUGAAAUCCCGCGGCUCAGCCGUGGAAGUGCACCCGAAACUGCAUAGCUAGAGUGUCGGAGAGGAAGGUGGAAUGCUUGGUGUAGAGGUGAAAUUCGUAGAUAUCCGGAGGAAUACCAGAGGCGAAGGCGGCACCCUGGGUCUGACCUGACGCUGAUCCGCGACAGCAUGGGGAGCGAACGGG
rnacentral:rRNA from 1 species